UUUCUGCAAGCGCAGGUAAAGAAUCUUCCACAAUGGACGAAAGUCUGAUGGAGCAACGCCGCGUGAGUGAUGAAGGUUUUCGGAUCGUAAAACUCUGUUGUUAAAGAAGAACAAGUGUUAGAGUAACUGUUAACACUUUGACGGUAUUUAACCAGAAAGCCACGGCUAACUACGUGCCAGCAGCCGCGGUAAUACGUAGGUGGCAAGCGUUGUCCGGAUUUAUUGGGCGUAAAGCGAGCGCAGGCGGUUUUGUAAGUCUGCUGUGAAAGCCCUCAGCUCAACUGAGGAAGUGCAGUGGAAACUACAAAACUUGAGUACAGAAGAGGAAAGUGGAACUCCAUGUGUAGCGGUGAAAUGCGUAGAUAUAUGGAAGAACACCAGUGGCGAAGGCGGCUUUCUGGUCUGUUACUGACGCUGAGGCUCGAAAGCAUGGGUAGCGAACAGGAUUAGAUACCCUGGUAGUCCAUGCCGUAAACGAUGAAUACUAGGUGUUGGAGGGUUUCCGCCCUUCAGUGCCGCAGCUAACGCAUUAAGUAUUCCGCCUGGGGAGUACGACCGCAAGGUUGAAACUCAAAGGAAUUGACGGGGGCCCGCACAAGUGGUGGAGCAUGUGGUUUAAUUCGAUGCUACGCGAAGAACCUUACCAGCUCUUGACAUCUUCUGCCAACCCAAGAGAUUGGGCGUUCCCUUCGGGGACAGAAUGACAGGUGGUGCAGGUGUUUUCAAAUAGGUUAAAAA
rnacentral:rRNA from 2 species